rnacentral:lncRNA from 1 species
GACAUCACCGCGCCACCUCAGAAGUGUGAAGUUGUAAAAUGAGACAAUGGCAUCUCGAUGGCAUCUUCUUCUCUUAUAGGAUAACUUGAUAAGACUAGAGCUUAGAGCUAGUCUCGGGGCUGGCCCCGAGACUAGACUAGAGCUAGCUAGCUCCAUCGCUCUUACCAGUUAAAGUAUUAAAUUACAGCUUCAUUUUAAAUUUUAGUUUUAUCAACACUGUUUAGCUCUUUAAACAGAGUAGAGAAAUCACAGCUGCUUGAUUUACUGAACCGUCAUUUACAUCAUUACUCAUCAGUAAUUGACACCCAGGACACCAGUUUAAAUAAUUUUGCUCAAUCAGUUGAAGCAGUUAUCAGUUCUGGAGUGGGAGCCUAUAGUAUGUGGAGUCAGAAAUGCAUGCUUUGUGGAAAACACUGCAAUUAUAAUAGAUAGUAAGCAUUAGAGGACUGGAUUUAAUAAGAUUUUGCCAUGACAAUACCUUCUGAACGAUGCAGAUAGAGAAGAUUUUCUCUCCCUAAUUCCAUUCCUACUGUCCUUCCUAUACCAUCAUUGGAACCACGCACACCAACCCCUCCUCCUUUGCUUCCCCCUAUAACCUCUACUAAAAGUCAGGGCGUUUAUCAGACCCAGUAAAGCAAAUCAAAAUCUGUUUCGGAACCCCUACAUGAAUUUGUUUCUGAUAGUGGAAGGAGCUAAUUACGUGGGAGAGGUUGUGGUUAUUCGUUAAAAGGUAAGGGAAGGAAAAGAGGACAUGAUGACAGUGAGGAAGAGGAGGAGUGUAUUGUUAGUGGAUGUGGCCAUGGACAGGAUUCCAUCACUGCAAAAGAUCAAUAUGUUAUUGAUCAGAAGAGAAAGUUUGGAAGAGGAGGACGAGGGAGAGUUCCAAGAGCUAGAGCUGAUGUUGCUACUAAUAAUGAAGAUGUAGAACUGUACAACUGAAAAUAAAAUGCUGCAAAACACUAGACUUCCUCUGUAAUCAAUUUAUUUAUUUUAUUGCUGCUCUAAUAUAAUGUUUACUAAUGUUUAAAUUCAUUAUUUUAAUUGAAUGGUUAAUUAUUCUAAUUCAAAA